GACGUAGGGUCCGAGCGUUGUCCGGAGUUACUGGGCGUAAAGGGCGCGUAGGCGGUUGUCUGCGUCCCACGUGAAAGCCCCUGGCUUAACCAGGGAGGGUCGUGGGAAACGGGGGAACUGGAGGCAGCGAGAGGUUGGUGGAAUUCCCGGAGUAGUGGUGAAAUGCGUAGAGAUCGGGAGGAACACCGGUGGCGAAGGCGGCCAACUGGCGCUGGCCUGACGCUGAGGCGCGAAGGCGUGGGGAGCGAACGGGAUUAGAUACCCCGGUAGUCCACGCAGUAAACGAUGUGGACGAGGUGUGGGGGGAGUUGACCCCCUCCGUGCCGGCGCAAACGCAGUAAGUCCACCGCCUGGGGAGUACGGCCGCAAGGCUAAA
rnacentral:rRNA from 1 species